rnacentral:rRNA from 1 species
GGAGGAUCCAAGCGUUAUCCGGAAUCAUUGGGUUUAAAGGGUCCGUAGGCGGGUUUAUAAGUCAGUGGUGAAAGCCCAUCGCUCAACGAUGGAACGGCCAUUGAUACUGUAGAUCUUGAAUUAUUAGGAAGUAACUAGAAUAUGUAGUGUAGCGGUGAAAUGCUUAGAGAUUACAUGGAAUACCAAUUGCGAAGGCAGGUUACUACUAAUGGAUUGACGCUGAUGGACGAAAGCGUGGGUAGCGAACAGGAUUAGAUACCCUGGUAGUCCACGCCGUAAACGAUGGAUACUAGCUGUUCGGAGCAAUCCGAGUGGCUAAGCGAAAGUGAUAAGUAUCCCACCUGGGGAGUACGUUCGCAAGAAUG